rnacentral:lncRNA from 1 species
UUAUUUUAAAGAUUCUGGAUAUUAGUGAGAUCCUGUGAUGUUUCUUUCUGUGUCUGGCUUGUCUUGCUGGCAUCGUGACCCCUAGUCCAUCCAUGUGGCAAAUGCAGGAUCUCCUCUGUUUUUAAGGCUGAACAAUAGUCCAUCACCUCUCUCCACGUGAUCAUAUACACCACAGUCUCCUUAUCUGUCCGGCCACUGAUGAAUGCCCAGUCUCUUGCUGUCAUCUCGACGCGCUGGGCCAGCAUGAUCCUGCGAGGAGUUGUACUUCAAAAUUUAACAAGGAACAAACGCAAAGCUUCAAAAGGGGAAAUACAAGCUUUCCCAGAGGAGUUUCUCCAGGUGCAGCGUGUGGUGGCAGCAACAGCACAGGCAUUUCCUUACUUAACCAGAAGAGACUAAGGGAUCUCCUGGGUCAGGUUCUGUGGAGUUCCAGCAGAAGCCGCGGAUCGUGGAAGUUCAGCGACACCACCGUCCUGCCCCGUGGGAGAGGUGGGCAUUGAGAUGGGUUUGACAAACGCUCUUUCGAAUCCAGAAAAGUCAAGUAGAGAAGGAAAGUAAGGGGCCACUUACUGUGCCUCGAAUCACAAGACCGCG